ensembl:lncRNA
CAGGUGUCAUUAAUGCCCUCCAGAGGAGAUGGCAGACUGAAGUCUGGCUGAUUGGGAAACUCAGAGACAAAGAGCUCCAGGAGAGACGGGCCCCAGCCUGCAGUUAUCCUCCCAGCAGGGAGCCACUAUCUCCGGGUAUGGGGCAGUCAUUUAGCUUCCCUCCAUCCAUUCCUCCAUCGCUCUCCCUACCCGUUCCUCUCUAGCAGCAGGUUAGUGAUGGAUUUGAUUCUCUGAUUGGAAAGAGGGCAAUUUUACCUCAGCGGUGCCCCACAUUUGCAUAAUGAUUUGCAUAAAUCUCUGCAUUUUACACCCUGUCCGACUCUUUUCUGUCUCUUCAUUCCUUCCAUUUUGUGUCACGGGUUCUCCUCGUUUACCUUCUCCUCUUCCUCUCCUCCUCACAUUCAUUAUUUUUGUGGUCUUCUCACUUUCACUCGUGUAACAUCACCACACUUUCAUGUUCCCGCCAACAGACAACACUCAAGAAACUUGACAUGCGGCACGGGGGAAUUUUAUGCUGUAAGUAAUCAUCCAGAAAUAUCCGGCAUAACAUUCACUCCUACCCUCAAAAAAAGACGAGAUUUUGUAACAUCUGCCACGCAAACAGUUGGGGAAUCUAAGCGUGAAUUGGGCUUAAAUGAGUUUGUAAAAUGUAAAACUCUCUCCACAUUGCUUUAUAUAUCAAUGUUUUCCUCUGUAUCUGUCGCUCUCUGCUUUUCUCUCGUCGUCAUUACCAUGGGAAAACAGCAGAAGUGGCAAUUUAAAAGAGAAAAACAUCUCUCUACCUGACUGAACACACAGAUGAGUUUUAGGACGUGACUGCCUUGUGUACACACACGCCUCAGUGGACACACUCUUUCAAUUUCAUAUUCAGAUCUUCUUUACAUGGGAAAAUAUGUACAGCCUAAUGAAAGCAGGGUGGGUCUCAUGUGUGUGUGUGUGUGUGUGUGUGUGUGUGUGUGUGUGUGUGUGUGUGUGUGUGCGUGUGUACUUGUAUUUCUUACUUUGUGGGUCCCAGUGACCAGGAGCACACCAACGCUGGGAACGUGGUAUUGCAGCAGAUACACACUACCGGAUGUGUGUGUGGCUUUAGCCAAUGAGAAAGGCCCACGGAGAGGGAGGGAGGAGCCGUGUAGUUUUAUUGGAUGCGCCCACGCACACUGUUUCUGGGUUUUAAUCUUCAAUUCCUCAUGUUUUGACUGUUUCAACGGAAAAAAACACUUCAUGUAGACUAAGCAACAGAUGGCUAACAUUAGCUGCUAAAAGCCCACGGACACGGCAUUUUAAACCGGAAGUUCCACGCGCUUCGACUCUGAUCAUCACGGCACAGCACUCUUCAUGUGAGAAGCAGGUAGGUGAAGUUAUUUGACUUUGUACAUGAUAUUCGUUUCAAUUCUUACUCAAUUUCGUAGCGCAACUAAAUGAUAGUUAAUGAUGUAGCAUUUUAUUCAGAUCAUAGCUGAUAAUGUUAUGAGCUGGUGAUGCGUGAUAGAUCGAUAGCUGAUAAUGGCGGCUGCGUAAGAAGCAUUUUAUUGCAUUACAUGAUAAUUUGACUCCGUUUUCUUUAUAGUUUUGCAAAAAUCCACUAAUGUAUUGGUUUGACAACGAUUUUAGACUUUUUUUACCUCAUGUUUUAAUUGAUCAGACAUGAUGGCAGACUAACUUAUCUGUUUAUUGAUCUAUCUUACAGUAUUUACAAUAUGGCUGAAUAGAUCUAGCUUAACUAUCAUUUCUGUGUUAUAUCUGUUGUCUGACCUGUGCAAGCUACAUUUAGUUUUUUCCCCAUGCUAAUUUCUUUUAUUUUGUAUGUGU